rnacentral:rRNA from 1 species
UGAUCCUGGCUCAGGAUGAACGUUGGCGGUGUGCCUAAUACAUGCAAGUCGAACGGUGGUUAUUUUGUAGUAAUACGAAGUGAUCAUAGUGGCGAACGGGUGAGUAACGCGUUGGUGAUCUGCCUCGAAGUGUGGAAUAACGUUCCGAAAGGAACGCUAAUACCGCAUGUGCUCUCGAUUUUUAGAAAGUUGAGAGUAAAGGAUUUAUUCGCUUCGAGAGGAGCCUGCGUCCCAUCAGCUAGUUGGUAGGGUAAUAGCCUACCAAGGCUUUGACGGGUAGGGGACCUGAGAGGGUGGCCCCCCACAAUGGAACUGAAACACGGUCCAUACACCUACGGGUGGCAGCAGUAGGGAAUAUUAGAAAUGGACGAAAGUCUGAUCUAGCGACACCGCGUGUGCGAUGAAGGCCUUCGGGUUGUAAAGCACUUUUUGGAAGGAAUAGGAAGGAAGGUACUUCCAGAAUAAGUCUCGGCUAACUACGUGCCAGCAGCCGCGGUAACACGUAGGAGGCAAACGUUAUCCGGAUUUACUGGGCGUAAAGCGCGUGUAGGUGGUUCUGUAAGUAGGGCGUGAAAGCUCCCGGCUCAACUGGGAGAGGCCGUUCUAAACUGCAGAGCUAGAGGAUGGUAGAGGGGAGGUGGUAAUUCCAGGUGUAGCGGUGGAAUGCGCAGAUAUCUGGAGGAACACCAGUGGCGAAAGCGGCCUCCUGGGACCAUUCCUGACACUCAGGACGCGAAAGCUAGGGGUAGCAAACGGGGAUUAGAGACCCCGGUAGUCCUAGCCCUAAACGAUG